GAAUAUGGAAGUUUGAAGAGAAGGAAAAUUCUUGAACACGGGGUGUCGCUAGAGCCGACGUUUCGACAAGCGGACUUGUCUUCUUUAGUGGCAGCUU
rnacentral:lncRNA from 1 species